UACGGGAGGCAGCAGUGGGGAAUAUUGCACAAUGGGCGCAAGCCUGAUGCAGCCAUGCCGCGUGUAUGAAGAAGGCCUUCGGGUUGUAAAGUACUUUCAGUCGUGAGGAAGGUGUUAAGGUUAAUAACUUUAGCAAUUGACGUUAGCGACAGAAGAAGCACCGGCUAACUCCGUGCCAGCAGCCGCGGUAAUACGGAGGGUGCGAGCGUUAAUCGGAAUUACUGGGCGUAAAGGGCACGCAGGCGGUUAAUUAAGUUGGAUGUGAAAUCCCCGGGCUUAACCUGGGAAUGGCAUUCAAGACUGGUUAGCUAGAGUCUUGUAGAGGGGGUAGAAUUCCAUGUGUAGCGGUGAAAUGCGUAGAGAUGUGGAGGAAUACCGGUGGCGAAGGCGGCCCCUGGACAAAGACUGACGCUCAUGUGCGAAAGCGUGGGGAGCAAACAGGGAUUAGAUACC
rnacentral:rRNA from 1 species